CAACGGCGCCUAUUUCUGCCGUGAAGCAGUCAUGUGUAAGCAUUACUGUGUUUCGGUCUGAAGGGCGCCGUAGCUAGUGAAAUUACUGGGCAAAUGAGACUUAACAUCUUAUGUCUCAAGGUGACGAGCGCAGUUGUAGUGCGGCUCAGAAUUUUUGAUUUUUUCAAGAAUCUUUAGCGGCACUGCAUUGUAAUGUGCAGGGCGUAUCAGUUACUGUCAUCUGAACGUCCUGCUCGUCUCGUCCCUUAUUAUCAUAAAAAAAAGCUAUACUUUAUUUUAAUAUCCUCUCUAGAGUCUUCGACCAACAAAGUGUCUCUAUUUUGGUAACUUUGAAGAAAUUUGAUUUGCAGAGGUUAAAUUUCGUUUUAUCUAUUUUCUCAAAAUUGAUUCCUUUAGAAUUCUUUUUGAUGUCAUUUCUAAUAUACUAGACACCACUACCGCUUCGGAAACAAAUGGCGCUCUGAGAGAGAGAAGAAGCGGCGCAAAAAUCUCUCUGCGCUCUUUUUAAUCGAAUAUACAUUCAAAUAUAUUGUAUUGUCAUUGCUAUUAAAUAAAUUAAUCAUAAUCUAGUCCCAGGCUGUCCGAUCACUUAGAUAUUCAGCUGUGGAGUAGUAGGAUGUAUGACAGAGCAAUUUUUUAAGUAGAGACUUAAAAUGAAGGGAACGAAACAUUAUCAUAUAUUUUUAUCGGCUCCUUUUACUUGACGCGGUGUAAAUAUCUUUAAUUUUAAAUCAUUCAAUGAGCACUGUUACCAUUUCCGUAUUAUUUAAGCUCUGAAUUUUGUAAAGUUUUAAACUACUUGAGUAUAAUCGCUUGAACAUAGAGAAUAUAAUAUUGAUACUUCAUUUCAUUCACAUUUACUUCCACACAAUACGCAAAAUAGAAACUUACAUGAACUAAUUUUAUUUAUAAUAUUACUAGCUGACCCGACAGACGUUGUUCUGUAGAUAAUAAAAAAAUACUAUUUUAUAGGAAUUUGCCAAUAAUAUUUGAAAACAUCAAGAAUUAUUUCGUAAAAAGUGCUCCCUGUUGUUAUAAUGAAAUUGUUUCACAGCAGAACUGUCAAAUCGUGCGUCACUAAAUUCUCUCAUAGAAAAUAUUAUGUCCAUACAAAACAAAUAUUGAAAAUUAAAAUAAUUAUGGGUCCCAAAUCGAAAUAAAAACUCUCCUAUCUCUCAAGUUGGACCAAACAGCACUCCAUGAAGUAAUCCCCUUUAAAAACCGUUCAUUAGUUUAGGUCAAUUGCGGACAAACAACGUGUCACGUAAUUUAUAUAUAUUAAGAUUUACUUGGCAGUAUUAAUAUAUUUAUACCUAUUGUUUUAAUAUAUUUUACAAUUUAAAACAGUCACAAACCACAAAAUUACUUUUGUAUAUUUUGUGGUAAAUGUUAAUGCCUCGCAUUUGGUCACGGGUGAAACAACUGGUCUUCUCGGUGGCGAUAGCAGCGCCUUAAGUGAUUAUACUCAAGUAAACUAAAAAAUCAGUUAAGUUUUAAAGUUACCUACGAUGUGCUUAAUACGUACUUACCGAAUAAAAUGCAUUUAAAUUAAGGUCUAUUUAUGCCUUUUGUGUAUCGAUCAUAUUUAUUUAAAUCGAGAAAUGUGUUAAAUAAUAUAUUUAUGUAUUAUAAGA